rnacentral:lncRNA from 1 species
GCUUUCUUUCUCCUUUAUUUCUUUUUCUUCUUCUUUUUCUUUUCAUUCUCAUGAGUCAUGAGGCCUAAGUUGGGGUGAUCUUCUUUAUCUUCUUGAAAGCUUAAUUUUUCUUCUUGAUUUACUCCCUCAUAAGUUGUUUCUAAUUUAUUCCAUAUUUGUUUAGCUGAAAUGCAAGAGAAAAUUAUGUUAAAUUCAUUUAAAUCUAAUGAAUAAUAAAGAAUAUUCAUAGUCUUAGUAUUU